ACGCCAGGUGGCAACCAAGGUCUUGCUGGUCGUCACAAUACACCGCCCUGCACAACCGUACCCGCACCUGAAAUGGUGACGCAGCAAUGAUGAGCAAGGGCAAGAAGA
rnacentral:lncRNA from 1 species